GUACUAGUCUACUAGACCACGACUUUUUGUUUCCGGCUUUUUCUAUAUCAAUUGUGAUCAGUCUUUCUUUCUGUCUUAUCUUUGUUAGCAGUUGAUUCAGUUCAGUCUUUGAAUAACAUCAAAGAGGACAUGCAGAAGAGCGAACUGUUGCCGGAUGCCGAUCUAUCCAAGUUCAAAUCGCAAGUCCAAAGUUCACAAAAGCAACACAAGACGGAAAAACAGGGUUCAUUAACAGUGGAACAACAACAGCGAAAAACUGAGACAAGCUCAAAGAAGAGAAAAGAACAUGGGCACUCAGCUCAGAGACCACAGGGGAACCCUAAGCAAUACUAUAAAAGCUGAACUCCUAUCAGUCUAUUUUUUAUGACAGAUAUGAGAUUGGUAAAGUUACAGCUACACAACGUCUAGAUCUAAACCUAGGGAGAGGGUAAGAGUAAAUUCAUUCAUUUCUAUGUUUUAUUGUGUUUUGUUUUUCUUAUUUAUCCAACCUGCUUUCAUGUUAUAUCUAGGAAUUUUUAUAUAGGGUAAUGAUGGGAAAAGAGAAACGUUGUUACUUUUUGAGUUUAUGCAUGGCUAUAUAUUGGUGUAUAUAUAUAUAUAUAAAUAUAUAUGUGGGAUGGCAAAUCACUAUUCAACUUUAUCUUUUGCUGAUAUCAAUCUAAGAAGCCCACCCACUUGGUCGAUACUAAGGGUUUUUUAUGAUAAAACCUGUCCCUCGAUAAACCUAUCUAUAUGUCCAAUUAACUGGGCUUCUUCACCUAGCACUUGCCUCUUAUAGAUUUCAUUUAAUUAAAUCUCUCUCUCUCUCUCCUCUAGUGGUUCAAUUGGGCUUUGGCUGAUUCAAAAUAAUCUUGUUCAAUGAUCAUUUAUUACCUGCACCUCUUGAAUCCCUUUCUAUUUGCCACAGAUCAAGUACCAACAGUAAAAGGACAAGAAAGCGCAUACGUGAUGAACUUUGUAAGAAAAACUGGGGAACCAUGGCACUCACUACAAAAACAAUUCAUCUUACAUGCAUUUGUAGUGAGAAACAGUCAACUUCAACUCAUGCAAAAAAAUCAUUGCAUAAUUGGAUGCCUGAACUGUCAACAGGGAGAUAUCAUUUGGCAGACAUCAUCAAGGACA